GCCUGGUGUGGUGGUGCGUGCCUGUAGUCCCAGCUACUUGGGAGGCUGAGGCCAGAGGAUCACUUGCAUCCAGGAGUUCUGGACUGUCGUGCACUAUGCCGAUCAGGUGUCCGCACUAAGUUCGGCAUCAAUAUGGUGACCUCCCAGGAGCAGGGGACCACCAGGUUGCCUAAGGAGGGGUGAACCGGCCCAGGUCAGAUUGUAUGGGGUUAACAGUCUGGAAAGUUCACAUAUAAGUAGGGCACAGUGGCUCUGGUAGUCAGCUAUGAUGGGAUAUAAGUCAAGGUUUCAA
ensembl:misc_RNA Metazoa_SRP Metazoan signal recognition particle RNA